rnacentral:rRNA from 1 species
ACAGGGAUUGCCUCAGUAACGGCGAGUGAAGCGGCAACAGCUCAAAUUUGAAAUCUGGCUCUUUCAGGGUUCGAGUUGUAAUUUGUAGAAGAUGCUUCGGGUGUGGCUCCGGUCUAAGUUCCUUGGAACAGGACGUCAUAGAGGGUGAGAAUCCCGUAUGUGACUGGUUGCCUUCGCCCAUGUGAAGCUCUUUCGACGAGUCGAGUUGUUUGGGAAUGCAGCUCAAAAUGGGUGGUAAAUUUCAUCUAAAGCUAAAUAUUGGCCAGAGACCGAUAGCGCACAAGUAGAGUGAUCGAAAGAUGAAAAGCACUUUGGAAAGAGAGUUAAACAGUACGUGAAAUUGUUGAAAGGGAAGCGCUUGCAACCAGACUUGCGUGCGGUCGAUCAUCCGGUGUUCUCACCGGUGCACUCGAUCGUAUUCAGGCCAGCAUCGGUUUCGGUGGUUGGAUAAAGGCCUUGGGAAUGUAGCUUCUUUCGGGGAGUGUUAUAGCCCAAGGUGCAAUGCAGCCUACCGGGACCGAGGACCGCGCUUCGGCUAGGAUGCUGGCGUAAUGGUUGUAAGCGACCCGUCUUGAAACACGGACCAAGGAGUCUAACAUCUAUGCGAGUGUUUGGGUGU